rnacentral:misc_RNA from 1 species
CAACUGGUCGCAACCAGUUGGACCUAAAUAUUGUUCCCAAUUGUUCAUAUUGUUAAAGUUUACCAAGGGAGGUUACAUGGUCGUGUUAUAGUUUUUGGUAUAUCUUUUAUGUAAAAUACAAGAGAAAUUGAAUUAUUAAUUGAUUGAAUCGAAGUUUUAAUUUCUAGAGUACCAUUGAUUGAUAAUAAGUAAACCCUUCUAAGCGAUUAUGGAGGCUUUGAGGGAAAUUUGCAAUUUUUUAAUUCCGGCAUGUCGACAGGAUGUAAAAUGUGUUGCACUGAAACAUGUAUUAAGGAUGACAGGCACUAAAAAAGGGAUUGAAUUAUUGCUCAAUACUUCUGCAAUUUUAAAAUGUGUUAUUGCAUUGAUGCAAGAUGACUCUCCAGUGAUCGCUAAGGAUGCAUCUCUGCUGUUGAUUAAUAUCAGUGCAGAAGAGGAGGGGGCUAAUACUUUACUACUAAUUUCUGAAACGAGUACAAUUGAUGCUGAUCAUAAUAUAAGCAGUAAUCUAGUAAAUACUUGUCUAAGGUAUAUUAUGGAUAAGAAUAGUGUAAUAGCAGAUCCUUGCUCCAUGAUAUUAUCAAAUUUGACUCGCUCACGGAAUCAUGUAGAAAGAUUUAUAAAAUUAAUGGAGAAAAGUAGUUAUACAUGGGAUUCCAUUGUCACUGCUUUCACGACAGUAACUUACAACUGUAAAGGUGCAGAUCUGGAUUAUGUGGCAACUGUUUUGAGUAACCUCAGUCAAUCGCUUAGUGUACGCAGGUAUAUAAUGGAUAAGGAUCGGUGUGUUAUUCAGAGGCUGUUGCCAUUUACGGAGCACAAAAAUGAUGUAAGACGAUACGGAAUUGUUGCUACCUUGAGGAAUUGUUGUUUUGACAUCGAUAAUCAUGACUGGCUAUUAGGUUCAGAAGUUGAUAUCUUGCCACACAUUUUACUACCACUAGCAGGUCCUGAAGAGCUUCCUGAGGAAGACAACGAUAAACUUCCUCUGGAUCUACAGUAUUUACCAGAAACUAAGGAACGAGAGACAAAUCCCGACAUUCGGACCAUGCUUUUAGAAACUUUGAAUCAAUUAUGUGCAACUAAAAGUGGACGAAUUUUGUUGCGUGAAAAAAAUGCUUAUGCAAUAUUGCGGGAAUACCACAAGUGGGAAAAAAAUAAAUCUAUCCUGUUAGCCUGCGAAAAUGUUGUUGAUAUCUUAAUCAGAACUGAAGAGGAAAUAGGACUGGAUAAUUUAAAAGAUGUGGACGUACCGUCGAAAUACGAGGAAGAGUUUCAUAAAAUGAAUGAAGAGUUUAUAUCAGAGAAAUAACCGUGCAGGUACACUGUCAUCAAUGUAAAUUACUUUCUUAUCGGAGAUUCUGUAAAUAUUGUGCGACAUAACACGUCGUAAACAUUAUAUUCCUCCGUAUUAAAAACAGACAUAAUUUCACAAAGCUUUGCACAUUUCAUUCAACCGAUAGUAUUGCACUUGCCCCUUAAAUAUUUAUUUUUAAGCUAUCAGGUCCAGCGUAGCAGGAAAAUGUUUUACUAAAACAAGGCGAUGGAGACGUAUGGAAAAAUGUUACUACGAUUUAACAACUAACGACUUGUCCUGUGUUUUCUUAAUAAUGCUUUUGAAACUCUUAACCAUUCUCGACAGCACCAUUAUCCUAGUCCCAUAAAGGGGAUAGAAACUUCAGUUAACAAAAAAGAAUGGUUUAACACUAAGCCAGGUGACUCUGAAUUGAUACCCUUUCCUGGCAAAAGCCAGCACCUGAGAAGUACGUCAAGAAUCUAAGAAAGUUCACUUAGAGUUGCACAGAUGUUCUCUUUCACAUACCCGAAUUGCAGGAGCGCAAAAUAAUUGAAGCAGUAUUUAAAAUUAACGCAAGCAGGCCACUUUUAUUAUCAUCGAAAGCUAUAAUAUUUAAGCUCUAAGUAUUCAAUUCAGAACAUUAACAAUUUUUAAAAUCUGUGCAACAUUCAAGCGAACAUAAAUCAUUCAAGCAGAUAAUGACGCAGUAGAAAUUCGAUCACGAGAUCAGGAGAUUUUCAUUGUCAGGGUAAGUAACCCAAUCCGGCUUCUAAACUAAUGGAGCUCCG